rnacentral:rRNA from 1 species
GGUUAAGCGACUAAGCGUACACGGUGGAUGCCCUGGCAGUCAGAGGCGAUGAAGGACGUGCUAAUCUGCGAUAAGCGUCGGUAAGGUGAUAUGAACCGUUAUAACCGGCGAUUUCCGAAUGGGGAAACCCAGUGUGUUUCGACACACUAUCAUUAACUGAAUCCAUAGGUUAAUGAGGCGAACCGGGGGAACUGAAACAUCUAAGUACCCCGAGGAAAAGAAAUCAACCGAGAUUCCCCCAGUAGCGGCGAGCGAACGGGGAGCAGCCCAGAGCCUGAAUCAGUGUGUGUGUUAGUGGAAGCGUCUGGAAAGGCGCGCGAUACAGGGUGACAGCCCCGUACACAAAAAUGCACAUACUGUGAGCUCGAUGAGUAGGGCGGGACACGUGGUAUCCUGUCUGAAUAUGGGGGGACCAUCCUCCAAGGCUAAAUACUCCUGACUGACCGAUAGUGAACCAGUACCGUGAGGGAAAGGCGAAAAGAACCCCGGCGAGGGGAGUGAAAAAGAACCUGAAACCGUGUACGUACAAGCAGUGGGAGCCUCUUAAUGGGGUGACUGCGUACCUUUUGUAUAAUGGGUCAGCGACUUAUAUUCUGUAGCAAGGUUAACCGAAUAGGGGAGCCGAAGGGAAACCGAGUCUUAACUGGGCGUUAAGUUGCAGGGUAUAGACCCGAAACCCGGUGAUCUAGCCAUGGGCAGGUUGAAGGUUGGGUAACACUAACUGGAGGACCGAACCGACUAAUGUUGAAAAAUUAGCGGAUGACUUGUGGCUGGGGGUGAAAGGCCAAUCAAACCGGGAGAUAGCUGGUUCUCCCCGAAAGCUAUUUAGGUAGCGCCUCGUGAAUUCAUCUCCGGGGGUAGAGCACUGUUUCGGCAAGGGGGUCAUCCCGACUUACCAACCCGAUGCAAACUGCGAAUACCGGAGAAUGUUAUCACGGGAGACACACGGCGGGUGCUAACGUCCGUCGUGAAGAGGGAAACAACCCAGACCGCCAGCUAAGGUCCCAAAGUCAUGGUUAAGUGGGAAACGAUGUGGGAAGGCCCAGACAGCCAGGAUGUUGGCUUAGAAGCAGCCAUCAUUUAAAGAAAGCGUAAUAGCUCACUGGUCGAGUCGGCCUGCGCGGAAGAUGUAACGGGGCUAAACCAUGCACCGAAGCUGCGGCAGCGACACUAUGUGUUGUUGGGUAGGGGAGCGUUCUGUAAGCCUGUGAAGGUGUACUGUGAGGUAUGCUGGAGGUAUCAGAAGUGCGAAUGCUGACAUAAGUAACGAUAAAGCGGGUGAAAAGCCCGCUCGCCGGAAGACCAAGGGUUCCUGUCCAACGUUAAUCGGGGCAGGGUGAGUCGACCCCUAAGGCGAGGCCGAAAGGCGUAGUCGAUGGGAAACAGGUUAAUAUUCCUGUACUUGGUGUUACUGCGAAGGGGGGACGGAGAAGGCUAUGUUGGCCGGGCGACGGUUGUCCCGGUUUAAGCGUGUAGGCUGGUUUUCCAGGCAAAUCCGGAAAAUCAAGGCUGAGGCGUGAUGACGAGGCACUACGGUGCUGAAGCAACAAAUGCCCUGCUUCCAGGAAAAGCCUCUAAGCAUCAGGUAACAUCAAAUCGUACCCCAAACCGACACAGGUGGUCAGGUAGAGAAUACCAAGGCGCUUGAGAGAACUCGGGUGAAGGAACUAGGCAAAAUGGUGCCGUAACUUCGGGAGAAGGCACGCUGAUAUGUAGGUGAAGUCCCUUGCGGAUGGAGCUGAAAUCAGUCGAAGAUACCAGCUGGCUGCAACUGUUUAUUAAAAACACAGCACUGUGCAAACACGAAAGUGGACGUAUACGGUGUGACGCCUGCCCGGUGCCGGAAGGUUAAUUGAUGGGGUUAGCGGUAACGCGAAGCUCUUGAUCGAAGCCCCGGUAAACGGCGGCCGUAACUAUAACGGUCCUAAGGUAGCGAAAUUCCUUGUCGGGUAAGUUCCGACCUGCACGAAUGGCGUAAUGAUGGCCAGGCUGUCUCCACCCGAGACUCAGUGAAAUUGAACUCGCUGUGAAGAUGCAGUGUACCCGCGGCAAGACGGAAAGACCCCGUGAACCUUUACUAUAGCUUGACACUGAACAUUGAGCCUUGAUGUGUAGGAUAGGUGGGAGGCUUUGAAGUGUGGACGCCAGUCUGCAUGGAGCCGGCCUUGAAAUACCACCCUUUAAUGUUUGAUGUUCUAACGUUGGCCCCUUACCGGGGUUGCGGACAGUGUCUGGUGGGUAGUUUGACUGGGGCGGUCUCCUCCUAAAGAGUAACGGAGGAGCACGAAGGUUGGCUAAUCCUGGUCGGACAUCAGGAGGUUAGUGCAAUGGCAUAAGCCAGCUUGACUGCGAGCGUGACGGCGCGAGCAGGUGCGAAAGCAGGUCAUAGUGAUCCGGUGGUUCUGAAUGGAAGGGCCAUCGCUCAACGGAUAAAAGGUACUCCGGGGAUAACAGGCUGAUACCGCCCAAGAGUUCAUAUCGACGGCGGUGUUUGGCACCUCGAUGUCGGCUCAUCACAUCCUGGGGCUGAAGUAGGUCCCAAGGGUAUGGCUGUUCGCCAUUUAAAGUGGUACGCGAGCUGGGUUUAGAACGUCGUGAGACAGUUCGGUCCCUAUCUGCCGUGGGCGCUGGAGAACUGAGGGGGGCUGCUCCUAGUACGAGAGGACCGGAGUGGACGCAUCACUGGUGUUCGGGUUGUCAUGCCAAUGGCACUGCCCGGUAGCUAAAUGCGGAAGAGAUAAGUGCUGAAAGCAUCUAAGCACGAAACUUGCCCCGAGAUGAGUUCUCCCUGACUCUUUAAGGGUCCUGAAGGAACGUUGAAGACGACGACGUUGAUAGGCCGGGUGUGUAAGCGCAGCGAUGCGUUGAGCUAACCGGUACUAAUGAACCGUGAGGCUUAACCUU